UACGGGGGGGGCAAGCGUUGUUCGGAAUUACUGGGCGUAAAGGGUUUGUAGGUGGCUCGCUAAGUCAGACGUGAAAUCCCUCAGCUUAACUGGGGAACUGCGUCUGAAACUGAUGAGCUUGAGUACUAAAGAGGGUCGCGGAAUUCCCGGUGUAGAGGUGAAAUUCGUAGAGAUCGGGAGGAACACCAGAGGCGAAGGCGGCGACCUGGACAGUGACUGACACUCAACUACGAAAGCGUGGGGAGCAAACAGG
rnacentral:rRNA from 1 species